rnacentral:rRNA from 1 species
UACGGAAGGCAGCAGUGGGGAAUAUUGCACAAUGGGCGCAAGCCUGAUGCAGCCAUGCCGCGUGUAUGAAGAAGGCCUUCGGGUUGUAAAGUACUUUCAGCGGGGAGGAAGGCGAUGUGGUUAAUAACCGCGUCGAUUGACGUUACCCGCAGAAGAAGCACCGGCUAACUCCGUGCCAGCAGCCGCGGUAAUACGGAGGGUGCAAGCGUUAAUCGGAAUUACUGGGCGUAAAGCGCACGCAGGCGGUCUGUUAAGUCAGAUGUGAAAUCCCCCGGGCUUAACCUGGGAACUGCAUUUUGAAACUGGCAGGCUUGAGUCUCGUAGAGGGGGUAGAAUUCCAGGUGUAGCGGUGAAAUGCGUAGAGAUCUGGAGGAAUACCGGUGGCGAAGGCGGGCCCCUGGGACGAAGACUGACGCUCAGGGUGCGAAAGCGUGGGGAGCAAACAGGAUUAGGAUACC